GCGAGCGUGUUUUCAAGGGUGAGAAGCGACGCCGAAAUCGUACAGCGCUCGGAGGAGAGAAACAGCGUGUCUCAACUAAUGACAAAAACGGAAGAGAUUGUUGAUUUCAUCGGUAACAAUGUACCAAGAUGAAACGAUCACUCGAAGAGAAACAACAACGUCCACAACAGAUAAGAGUUCAUUAGGAACGAUUUGUCGCCUCGCUACUUGUCGCAUUGGCGAAAGGAACAUUGUGCGGUCUCGUGACAGGAAAAAACCAUAAACUUUUAGUCGCCUCCUUUUUCCCCUCGAGUCCUAUUUACCGUCCGAGUAUAUUCGUUUAAGCGUUAACGCUUUGGUCAAAGUUGUCGCUAAUUGGCUCCUUUUUGUGCAUCAAUCAAGCUCGAGUUACAACGACUUCUCACCUUCGCCCAUUAAUCUAUCGGUGGACAUACUCGUCAAGGGCGCGAAAUUCGCGCAGCGAAUACAGUGCGGAGGACACCACGUCGUGAGUGCACUCGUGGAUAUUAUUUUCGGAACUUGGUAACGUCACUCACUAAUAAUGUACUUGCAAUGACGACGACGCGAGGAAUUGCGUCUCAAUAAGAAAGCUUCCGAUCGAUCGUUAUAGCAAGGAGAAGAAGAUGCACCCCAAAUAGGAAUUUGUUACCGGCGUGGUACCAGUGUGGUAUACAAUACUAGAUGUCAGUACUGAUUUAAUAUUGAGGUGAUAAAAACGAGCCAGUAUCGUAACAAAACCGAGAAUCAGUAUUAUGGUACUGAAAAUAAUUACCGUAAUUAUUUAUCAAAAAUAUUCUUCAUGAUUUUUAAAAUAAUCUUUCUCAUAUCUGAA